UACGAAGGGUGCAAGCGUUACUCGGAAUUACUGGGCGUAAAGCGUGCGCAGGCGGUUUUGUAAGCCAGAUGUGAAAGCCCCGGGCUCAACCUGGGAAUGGCAUUUGGGACUGCAAGGCUGGAGUUUGGCAGAGGAGACUGGAAUUCCUGGUGUAGCAGUGAAAUGCGUAGAUAUCAGGAGGAAUACCGAUGGCGAAGGCAGGUCUCUGGGCUAUAACUGACGCUCAUGCACGAAAGCGUGGGGAUCAAACAGG
rnacentral:rRNA from 1 species